rnacentral:rRNA from 1 species
ACGGGUGAGUAAUACAUCGGAACGUGCCCAAUCGUGGGGGAUAACGCAGCGAAAGCUGUGCUAAUACCGCAUACGAUCUACGGAUGAAAGCAGGGGAUCGCAAGACCUUGCGCGAAUGGAGCGGCCGAUGGCAGAUUAGGUAGUUGGUGAGGUAAAGGCUCACCAAGCCUUCGAUCUGUAGCUGGUCUGAGAGGACGACCAGCCACACUGGGACUGAGACACGGCCCAGACUCCUACGGGAGGCAGCAGUGGGGAAUUUUGGACAAUGGGCGAAAGCCUGAUCCAGCCAUGCCGCGUGCAGGAUGAAGGCCUUCGGGUUGUAAACUGCUUUUGUACGGAACGAAACGGCCUUUUCUAAUAAAGAGGGCUAAUGACGGUACCGUAAGAAUAAGCACCGGCUAACUACGUGCCAGCAGCCGCGGUAAUACGUAGGGUGCAAGCGUUAAUCGGAAUUACUGGGCGUAAAGCGUGCGCAGGCGGUUAUGUAAGACAGUUGUGAAAUCCCCGGGCUCAACCUGGGAACUGCAUCUGUGACUGCAUAGCUAGAGUACGGUAGAGGGGGAUGGAAUUCCGCGUGUAGCAGUGAAAUGCGUAGAUAUGCGGAGGAACACCGAUGGCGAAGGCAAUCC